rnacentral:rRNA from 1 species
GACGAACCACACAAACGUUAUUCGGAAUUACUGGGCUUAAAGGGUGCGUAGGCUGCGCAGAAAGUUGGGUGUGAAAUCCCACGGCUCAACCGUGGAACUGCUUGGUAUACUGGAUGUCUUGAGCCAUCUAGGGGCUACCGGAACAAAUGGUGGAGCGGUGAAAUGCGUAGAUAUCAUUUGGAACGCCAAUGGUGAAAACAGGUAGCUGGGGAUGUGCUGACGCUGAGACACGAAAGCCAGGGGAGCAAACGGG